CAAUGUUGACGAGUCCAAAACAGGACGAAACAGCUGUCCAGUGC
rnacentral:hammerhead_ribozyme from 1 species